AAGUCGUAACAAGGUUUCCGUAGGUGAACCUGCGGAAGGAUCAUUAAAGAAUUGUUAGAUUUGGUUGUCGCUGGCCUCUAUUUGAGGUAUGUGCACGCCGAAUCGAUACUCUUCAUCCUUAACCACCUGUGCACCUUUUGUGAGCCUUCUUUUCUUCUGUUUGGACUAUAUGCGGUUUGAGAUUUGCGCCUAACACGCGCUUUCCUUGCUUUCAGUCGCGUUUUGGUUCACUCGGGAGGGGAGAGAGUUCAUGUUUUAUUACACAAACCAUGUAUUCAAAUCUCAGAAUGUAUCAUUAGAGUUGGGUCUAAACAGCCCUUCUUUAAAAAGUUUAUAACAACUUUCGACAACGGAUCUCUUGGCUCUC
rnacentral:misc_RNA from 1 species